UACAGAGGUGGCAAGCGUUGUUCGGAAUUACUGGGCGUAAAGGGCGCGUAGGCGGUCUUUUAAGUCUUGUGUGAAAUCCCUCGGCUCAACUGAGGAACUGCACGGGAUACUGGAAGACUUGAGUUCGGGAGAGGGAAGCGGAAUUCCGGGUGUAGCGGUGAAAUGCGUAGAUAUCCGGAGGAACACCGGUGGCGAAGGCGGCUUCCUGGGCCGAUUACUGACGCUGAGGCGCGAAAGCUAGGGGAGCAAACGGG
rnacentral:rRNA from 1 species